rnacentral:rRNA from 1 species
AUGAACGCUAGCGGCAGGCUUAACACAUGCAAGUCGAGGGGCAGCGCGGAGUAGCAAUACUCUGGCGGCGACCGGCGGAAGGGUGCGUAACGCGUGAGCAACUUGCCCGCAUCAGGGGGGAUAAUCGCUGGAAACGGCGUCUAAUACCCCGUAACAACAGUGAGCGCAUGCUCGUUGUUUGAAAGCUUAUUGCGGAUGCGGAUGGGCUCGCGUGACAUUAGCUAGUCGGCGGGUAACGGCCCACCGAGGCGACGAUGUCUAGGGGUUCUGAGAGGAAGGUCCCCCCACACUGGAACUGAGACACGGUCCAGACUCCUACGGGAGGCAGCAGUGAGGAAUAUUGGUCAAUGGCCGGAAGGCUGAACCAGCCAUGCCGCGUGCAGGAAUGAAGGCCCUAUGGGUCGUAAACUGCUUUUGUGGCGGAGCAAUAAGGUGUACGUGUACACCGAUGAGAGUACGUCACGAAUAAGCAUCGGCUAACUCCGUGCCAGCAGCUGC